GAUGAACGCUGGCGGCGUGCUUAACACAUGCAAGUCGAACGAUGAAGCCCAGCUUGCUGGGUGGAUUAGUGGCGAACGGGUGAGUAACACGUGAGUAACCUGCCCUUAACUCUGGGAUAAGCCUGGGAAACUGGGUCUAAUACCGGAUAGGAGCGUCCACCGCAUGGUGGGUGUUGGAAAGAUUUAUCGGUUUUGGAUGGACUCGCGGCCUAUCAGCUUGUUGGUGAGGUAAUGGCUCACCAAGGCGACGACGGGUAGCCGGCCUGAGAGGGUGACCGGCCACACUGGGACUGAGACACGGCCCAGACUCCUACGGGAGGCAGCAGUGGGGAAUAUUGAACAAUGGGCGAAAGCCUGAUGCAGCGACGCCGCGUGAGGGAUGACGGCCUUCGGGUUGUAAACCUCUUUCAGUAGGGAAGAAGCGAAAGUGACGGUACCUGCAGAAGAAGCACCGGCUAACUACGUG
rnacentral:rRNA from 1 species